rnacentral:rRNA from 1 species
UACGUAGGGGGCAAGCGUUGUCCGGAUUUCCUGGGCGUAAAGAGCGUGUAGGCGGCCAAACAGGUCCGUUGUGAAAACUGGAGGCUCAACUUCCAGACGUCGACGGAAACCGUGUGGCUAGAGUCCGGAAGAGGAGAGUGGAAUUCCUAGUGUAGCGGUGAAAUGCGCAGAUAUCAGGAAGAACACCAAUGGCGAAGGCAGCUCUCUGGGACGGUACUGACGCUGAGACGCGAAAGCGUGGGGAGCGAACAGG